UACGGAGGGGGCGAGCGUUAUUCGGAAUUAUUGGGCGUAAAGGGCGCGUAGGCGGCUGCACAAGUCAAAGGUGAAAUCCCUCGGCUCAACUGAGGAACUGCCUUUGAAACUGUGCGGCUUGAGGCCGGGAGGGGGUAGCGGAAUUCCCAGUGUAGCGGUGAAAUGCGUAGAUAUUGGGGAGGAACACCAGUGGCGAAGGCGGCUA
rnacentral:rRNA from 1 species